rnacentral:lncRNA from 10 species
GACAGAGUCUCACUCUGUCGCCCAGGCUGGAGUGCAGUGGCAUGAUGCAAGCUCUGCCUCCCGGGUUCACACCAUUCUCCUGACUCAGCCUCCCGAGUAGCUGGGACCACAGGCGCCUGCCACCACGCCUGGCUAAUUUUGUUUUUGUAUUUUUAGUAGAGACAGGGUUUCACCGUGUUAGCCAGGAUGGUCUCGAUCCCCUGACUUUGUGAUCCGCCUGCCUUGGCCUCCCAAGGUGCUGGGAUUACAGGCGUGAGCCACCGCACCCAGAUGACUACCAUUAUAAAGGCAAAGUUAAAAUAGUUGUGCAUAACACCAGUGGCUAACAUCAAACAUCCACUCUCUUCUUUCUGAGUAGAAAACACUUUUUGAGAGUCUCAAAAUAUAAAAGGAAAAGUAAAAAAAGACCAUCUCACCAGAGAAAUCCAUUAAUGCCCCAAAUGCUGUUUGCCAUUUCACUGGUUCACGAGACCCCCGCCACACAUCUGUGCACACUCAAAGGAGCCAUGGAACCCAAACAAUGAACACAAUUCUCUUCUCCCUACUCUCUACAUCCUGCAGCUGCAUUUUUAAUUUAAAAAUAUCUGGCUGGGCACGGUGGCUUACGUCUGUAAUCCCAGCACUUUGGGAGGCCAAGGCGGGCGGAUCACAAGGUCAAGAGAUCAAGACCAUCCUGGCCAACAUGGUGAAACCCUGUCUCUACUAAAAAAGCAAAA